UACGGAGGGCGCAAGCGUUGUUCGGAAUCACUGGGCGAAAAGCGCGUGUAGGCGGCUUGGCAAGUCGGAUGUGAAAUCCCGAGGCUCAACCUCGGAACUGCACUCGAAACUGCCAGGCUCGAGUCCCGGAGAGGGAGGCGGAAUUCCCGGUGUAGGGGUGAAAUCCGUAGAUAUCGGGGGGAACACCAGUGGCGAAGGCGGCCACCUGGACGGUGACUGACGCUGAGACGCGAAAACGUGGGGAGCAAACAGG
rnacentral:rRNA from 1 species